CUUUUUUGAGCAUGUCAAUAUCAGUGACGUGCGGUGAGGUUCAUAGCUGGUGAGGCACCAAUUUAAUUAUAAUCGGAUUUGCAAAUCUGGACCCCUGCAUGUUAUUGUUUACAUAAGGAAAUUACGCGCAUGCGUACAAUGCUGGAGGGCAAAAAGACUAUUCUUUAACGUGAUGCUUAGCCACGCCGCCGCCGCAGAAUAUUUCCGUUAUCUCAAUCAAACUUAGACAUGUAGAUAUUAUUAAUUUCGUGCUGUGCUUAACAGCAAAGGGAGAAACC